rnacentral:rRNA from 1 species
AGCAGCCGCGGUAAUUCCAGCUCCAAUAGCGUAUAUUAAAGUUGUUGCAGUUAAAAAGCUCGUAGUUGAAUUUCGGGGUCAGUAGGUUGGUCGUACCACCGGUACGUACUGGUCUCACUGAUUCCUCCUUCCUGAAGAACCGUAAUGCCAUUAAUUUGGUGUUGCGGGGAAACAGGACUGUUACUUUGAAAAAAUUAGAGUGUUUAAAGCAGGCUAACGCUUGAAUACAUUAGCAUGGAAUAAUGAAAUAGGACGAUCGAUCCUAUUUUGUUGGUUUCUAGGAUUGACGUAAUGAUUAAUAGGGAUAGUUGGGGGCAUUAGUAUUCAAUUGUCAGAGGUGAAAUUCUUGGAUUUAUUGAAGACUAACUACUGCGAAAGCAUUUGCCAAGGAUGUUUUCAUUAAUCAAGAACGAAAGUUAGGGGAUCGAAGACGAUCAGAUACCGUCGUAGUCUUAACCAUAAACUAUGCCGACUAGGGAUCGGAUGAUGUUAAUUUUUAAUGACUCAUUCGGCGCCUUAC